ACGGGGGGAGCAAGCGUUGUUCGGAUUUACUGGGCGUAAAGGGCGCGUAGGCGGCCAGCGCAAGUCAGUUGUGAAAUCUCCGGGCUUAACUCGGAAAGGUCAACUGAUACUGCGCGGCUAGAGUGCAGAAGGGGCAACUGGAAUUCUCGGUGUAGCGGUGAAAUGCGUAGAUAUCGCUUGGAACGCCAAAGGUGAAAACAGGCUGCUGGGGAUGUGCCGACGCUGAGACACGAAAGCCAGGGGAGCAAACGGGA
rnacentral:rRNA from 1 species